rnacentral:tRNA from 1 species
GGGACUGUGGCUCAGUGGCAUAGCAUCUGUUUGGCACGCAGAAGGUGCCCGGUUCAACCCCCGGCAUCUCCA